UGUCCAUUUGUAUGACCAACUUUUGUCUGAUUUUAUAAUCCGGCUGGUGGUAGAAAGCUUUCUAAGCAGCGUCUCUCCUGCUGGAUUGUGGAAGCUAUUUCUCUGUCAUAUGACAGCAAGGGGGGGUCUGGCGGCAUCUUGGAUGUUGUUUAAAGGGUUUCCUGUGGGAGAUAUUUGUGCUGUGAAGAGUUGAGCAUCACCACACACCUUUGUUCGGGAUAGACACCAAACAGUUUGGGAUAUGUGGGAGGCAGGGCCCAGAGAUUAGAAGGCUAUCUCCUAUCCUGCAGUGGUGCUUCGGGGCCUGGGGGCCCUGAAGACAGGAAGGAAGGCCGGGCAGUGGAUCCAGGGUUGCAGCGGCUCCUGCCAAAGGGACAGAAAGGGCCUGUCUGCAGCGACCCAGACCUAGACCAGCGUUUUGGAAAAACACACAGGAACCCAGAGACACCAACUGCAUGACAAACACCUCACAUAGAGAGAGAGAGAGAGAGAGAGAAACAGAGAGUGAGUUAAUGACAAAGAUAGAGAGAGGGUGAGAGAGAGAAGGGAUAGAGCAAAGGGAGAAUGCAAGAGAGAGAGGGACAUCUUGCUCUGCGGGACCCCUAAGCCUGCCAAAUGAGCUCCCUAGUCGGCUCUGCCUCUGUCCUCUGUCCCUCUAUUGCCUCUUGUUACACACAUAGAUUCAGCUGAGUCAGAGCCUAUUCAGGCCUCAACCCCCAGACAUACACAGACACAUAGCCAAAGACCUGCAGAACAGAGCCAGGAAAACUCCCCAGCAAAACACCUCAAUGAUGCCAGGACUCAGCCUCAGCUCCACUCCCCUCUCCUCUCCCCUACCCAUUUCAGACAGAAAAUGUGGUGUAUUAACUGUAAAAAAAAAUACAAAUAAAAAAAUUAAAAAGUG